rnacentral:lncRNA from 1 species
AAUAAAAGACAUAACAAAUUAUUAAACUAAAAUGAUUAUCUUUCAUAUAUACAGUAUCAAAAUUACAUCGAUCAACAUAAAGUUGUCCUAAAUAUUGUCAAUCAUUCACAAUCAAACUAACAUAUAUUAAAUGUAUAUCCUAAUGUGAAUCAUUCACCAUCAAACUAACAUCUUCAAAAUGUAUAUCCUAUUAAAAAAACUUAAACAUCUACACCUCUUCAUCUUCAAAAUCUUGCAUUUCUUCAUCGAUAUCGUUAUUCAUCAUCUGCAAAAUAAAAGUUAUAUAAUUAAAAUUCAGAGAAAAUUGAAAAGAAACAAUGAGCAGAUCAACUAUCUAAUUAAAAUUCAGAGAAUAUAAUUAUAACAUAGAGUAACUGUACCACCCCUAACAACAACCAGCAUCAGCAGAAACAUCCUAUUUGCACCAGAAUUUUGUUAACAGUCCUGUACAUGAAAAUCAGAUAUUAAAAAAAUACACCACAGGUGCCUGCAAAAUGAAGACAGGAUCUAAACCAAAUAAAUGCCCUAGUCUAGCCUACUUGCAUCUAUGCAUGUAUGUGAAUACUGAAAAAUGGAACAUACCUUCUUGAAGACACUCUCUCUUAAGCAACAACAAAUGUCUUGAUCAAAGAAAGGCAGAGUUGGAGUAUGGACUAUAAACAGCAUCUGUUAAUGCAUCAAACAUAUAGUUGUUCAAGAUAGUAGAGAGACUAAUGCUAAUUAAUAAUAACCUAUUCUCAAUUAAAAUAGUUAGAUUUCACCAAUAUUACAAUUCAAGAGACAGCAGAAAGUUGUGUCAAAAAAGAAAUAAAGAGAUAGCAAAAAGCUAAUUGAAACACUUAAUGGUUAAUGGUUGGAUCUAUGACUUACAAAAUUUAAAAUAAAAGAUUGGGUAAUUGAUAUACAAAUAUAAUAAGAAGAAAUACAUGUUCAAACAACUUGAAUAACUUGCCUCACAACAUAAUCAACAUAUAUAAAGCAAGCAAAAAGCAUCUUGCCCCUACAUAUAAACACACCUAUGCCUCUCCCAUGAUCACACGCAGAAUAUGACUUCAAAACCAAAUAAAGACCACAAUAUCUCACUCUGAUUGUGAUAGCAGGGCUUGCCACUAGACUCUUACCUUUUAUCUUUCUUUUUAUUUCUAUACAUUUACCCCUACCUCAUAUCGUCUAUAUAACCAAACAACUCCCAAAACAAUGAAAGCAUAUGAGGUGAAAUUUAUAUUGUUACUGUAUCUUACUAAUUGUUUUCACAAUUAAAAUGAUAUUUACACACUUGUAUGGUGCACAAAAAUCAAAUUCUUCUGAUUCAAAACUCAGAUUUUCUUUUGUACAAACAUCACAGUAGACAUACAUGAUGCAUGUGCUCGUGACUUAUACAUUAGGUGACUCUCGAUGAUAAGAAACAAGAAACCGCUUUUUGGAUAUUUCCAGGAUCAAGUUUGGAGAAAAAAAUCAGCAUAUUCUAAAAAAAGGAGAUGUUCACUAAAUUUUGACAUUGAAGACAGUUUCAGGCUGUAUCCGAAGAUUCUGCAGCUUGGUCCCUCUAAACAGACAUUUAAUUAAGAUACAAUUUAAUGCAAAUAAGUUAAUCAGAAUGUGAGAACUGUUUAAAUGAUAAUUUUGCUAAGUCUGAUUAAUCAAUUUGAUGCUUACAUUUCACUAAAUUGAAAAGAAAUUUAUAUAUUGUUUUGAUUGAGAGUAAUUGUACAGUAUAACUAAGCCCCUCACAAUACAGCGAAAACACUAUCCCUGAACUGAAGCCUUAUAUUAUAACAAAACUCCCAAAAACUAAGCACCUCUACAAAAACAAUUAACACCAGAAAACACACAAAGCCUUGAUCAACGUUUUGAUCAUAUAUAACAAUCGGCCACAUAAGUGAUCGGGCAUAAUGCAAAAAACAAAUCAAAGUUUGAUUGCGAUGAAAUGAUCUUUCAAAUGAGCAAUUAGUGAUUUAACAGAACAUUAAAAUGAUGCUUUAUAUUAAAAGAUUGAACAAAAUCAAUGAUUUAUUUAACAUAAAAGAGAUACCUAACAAGUAACCAUGCAACAAUAUGGUCUGUAAUAAGUAUUUGAAAUUGUUUUCAAACUCAAAGGAAAACUCAUUGAGUGAGUCUCCAGGGGCAGCGGCGAUACCAACUUGAAACACCCUUGUGAUUGUUGUCGAGGGAAUAGUGUGGUACCAAAUCUCAAUAGGGAAGAGAAGGAAACGAGACAAAGCAACAUAAAUAGUUUCGCAGGGAAUGAGACUACAGGAUUCAGAGCAACUAGUAGGGUUAAAUCGCAGGGUGAAAACGUGCACCAACAACAAGUGAAGUGAUAGAAAAUUCAAUGAACAGAAAUCAAAUAAUCAAAUCAAUUGAGUUCAACAAAACCAAAUAUUAAGACAAAUCAAAAGAUGGUAGACCUCAAUCUUAAUAGUGAGCCUAUUGAGGAAACGACCAAGUGGAAAAGGAAGACAUUGAACAGUACCUGUCGAAAUUGAUAUUAAACUUCCAGCUGAGGCGUUGUUGAAACUGCGAUUGAGCUUCGAACUAAACUCCGAUUCAAUAAAUAGAAUCGGUGGCUGAGAGAUUGAAGCUCCGUAAGAGGAAUUAGGGAUUGAAGCAUCGUGACUGGGAGAGGGAUUAGGGAUUCAUACUUUUAUUUUUGCUUCGUGAGAGGGAGAUUCAGGGAUAAUUUCAAUUGGAGGGAUAUUCAGUGGGAACAAAACCAAUCGAGAAGGGAUUAGUCAGUUUCGAAGGGUUUGUGAGUCGUUUGGGAUUUAUCAACUGAGAAUGAUAAGAAAUUUAGGGAUUUAGGGUUCUUGGAAUUGAUAAUUUUGCACCAAAGGGAUUUAGGGAUUUGUUGUUUGUGAUUUGGAGUAGGGAUUUUGAUCUUCUCAUAUGAAAGGGUUUCGUGAUUUGUAGAAUGGAAGAAAACUAGUUUCUAUUUCUAUGUAGUUUAGAUUUGUACUUGUAAUACGAUGAUGUGAAAUUUUUC